ACACGUUUUAGGGAGUACGGAACCGUUUGGGAUUCAGCCUGGGUUUGAUGCUACUUCGGACUGAAACACGGACAUUUGAAGCGUGUGGAAGGAAGCAGAGAAGCAGGAGGUCAGCAGGGGGCAGCAUGGGAGACCAGGGAAGAAAACCAAAGAGUUUAGCAGGACAAACACAGCAAGGCAGUUAAACACAUUCCACGCACCCCUUUCAUUUGCCUGCUGAAAGGAGCGCCCUCUAGCGUUGGAGAAACCCGGAACACAUUGCAGAGUGAUAAUUCUCUCUACAAGUUCUCUGGUGGGACUUUGCAUGUUGUUUCUUACAAUAGGAUUGGACACCACAGCUUUCUGGUGACAUGAUGCUUUGGUUUGGAGUAUAAUUCGACAGGCUACAUCAUCUUACAGAUUGUUCCUUAACUAACCACUCUAAUUAUCUUAGAUUCACUCACAAUUACACCACUGCUUCAACCUCCGAAACAAAAAGAGAACAGUUUACUGUCAGGUUUAACGUAACCUACCUCAGUAUGGCCUCUGCUAUAAUCUUAACAAGUCUUGCUAGCUAAAUUCACAGUGAACUACGUUAUGCUAAUAUCGCUAGGUCAGGAUAAAGUUAUCAUCAUAUAUCAUCAUAUCAUUUUAUUGAUAGCAUUAUUUUAAU